GACGAACGCUGGCGGCGUGCUUAACACAUGCAAGUCGAACGGAAAGGCCCUGCUCUUGUGGGGUGCGCGAGUGGCGAACGGGAGAGUAACACGUGAGUAACCUGCCCUCGACUUUGGGAUAACUUCAGGAAACUGGGGCUAAUACCGGAUAGGAGCUCCUGCUGCAUGGUGGGGGUUGGAAAGUUUCGACGGUUGGGGAUGGACACGAGGCUUAUCAGCUUGUUGGUGGGGUAGUGGCUUACCAAGGCGUUGACGAGUAGCCGGCCUGAGAGGGUGACCGGCCACAUUGGGACUGAGGUGCGGCCCAGACGCCUACGGGGGGCAGCAGUGGGGAAUAAUGCACAAUGAUCGGAAGCCUGAUGCAGCAGCGCCGCGUGCGGGAUGACGGCCUUCGAGUUGUAAACCGCUUUCGCCUGUGACGAAGCGAGAGUGACGGUAAUGGGUAAAGAAGCACCGGCUAACUACGUG
rnacentral:rRNA from 1 species